GCGGGUGUAGUUUAGUGGUAAAAUGUCUGCCUUCCAAGCAGAAGUCGGGGUUUCGAUUACCCCCACCCGCACCA
rnacentral:tRNA from 1 species